rnacentral:rRNA from 1 species
UGGGGAAUUUUGGACAAUGGGCGAAAGCCUGAUCCAGCAAUGCCGCGUGUGUGAAGAAGGCCUUCGGGUUGUAAAGCACUUUUGUCCGGAAAGAAAUCCUUGGCUCUAAUACAGUCGGGGGAUGACGGUACCGGAAGAAUAAGCACCGGCUAACUACGUGCCAGCAGCCGCGGUAAUACGUAGGGUGCAAGCGUUAAUCGGAAUUACUGGGCGUAAAGCGUGCGCAGGCGGUUUGCUAAGACCGAUGUGAAAUCCCCGGGCUCAACCUGGGAACUGCAUUGGUGACUGGCAGGCUAGAGUAUGGCAGAGGGGGGUAGAAUUCCACGUGUAGCAGUGAAAUGCGUAGAGAUGUGGAGGAAUACCGAUGGCGAAGGCAGCCCCCUGGGCCAAAUACUGACGCUCAUGCACGAAAAGCGUGGGGGAGCAAAACAGGAUUAGAUACCCUGGUAGUCCACGCCCUAAAACGAUGUCAACUAGUUGUUGGGGAUUCAUUUCCUUAGUAACGUAGCUAACGCGUGAAGUUGAUCGCCUGGGGAGUACGGUCGCAAAGAUUAAAAACUUAAAUGAAUUGACGGGGUCAUAGCUGUUUCCU